rnacentral:rRNA from 1 species
AUUGAACGCUGGCGGCAUGCCUUACACAUGCAAGUCGAACGGUAACGGGCCUUCGGGUGCCGACGAGUGGCGAACGGGUGAGUAAUGCAUCGGAACGUACCUUUCAGUGGGGGAUGACGUAGCGAAAGUUACGCUAAUACCGCAUAUUCUGUGAGCAGGAAAGCAGGGGAUCGCAAGACCUUGCGCUGAUUGAGCGGCCGAUGUCAGAUUAGCUAGUUGGUGAGGUAAAGGCUCACCAAGGCGACGAUCUGUAGCGGGUCUGAGAGGAUGAUCCGCCACACUGGGACUGAGACACGGCCCAGACUCCUACGGGAGGCAGCAGUGGGGAAUUUUGGACAAUGGGGGCAACCCUGAUCCAGCCAUGCCGCGUGAGUGAAGAAGGCCUUCGGGUUGUAAAGCUCUUUCGGCCGGGAAGAAAUCGCACAGGCUAAUACCUUGUGUGGAUGACGGUACCGGAAUAAGAAGCACCGGUUAACUACGUGCCAGCCGCCGCAGUAA